UCACCUCUCUGGACGGUCAGAUUUACAAGCAGCACAUGAGAGAGAAAACACAAAAAGCCAGCCAGCCUCUCCUGACAUUCGACAGCAGCCUCCCUCUAAAUACUGGCAAAGUUUAUUUGCUUUCUGUGAGGGUGUGCUAAGUGAUUUUGCAGUUUGAGUGCUGCGGCCUUCUAGCACUUAGGCUUGCAUUUAUUAAAUAAAUUUGUUCUCUAACUCAAGUGUUAAGUGUGCAUGAUGAAACCUCAAAGCCGGUGAUUGCAAUGUGCAAAUAUUUUUUAAAUUAUGUAAUUAAAUAGGACUUGGCCUUCGAGGUCCACCGAAGUAAUUUAUUAAUUGAAUCUGAUUUAAUUGUAUGUUAUUUUCAUUUAUUCAAGGGAAGAGCCUGCCUCUCUUACUGAGACAGGGGCCUCUUGUGUGCCUUGCCACCGGAAGGAGCCCAGAGAUCCUCUCUAAGAAGUCUUUAGCACCCUGUAAAAUAUUAACCGAGAAGAGAGGACUCGUUUCCCUCCCGUCCCUGAAGUUGUGUUUGGGCGUCUGAGUCUCGGUGCUUUUAAAGGGGAAAGGAAAGAAAAUAAAAUCUCGUGAGGUAGACUUAUUGUGAUUCUCGGUGUUUAUCGUUAGGUUAUUUUUAAAGUGAGUCACUCUUUUUCUUUUAACUUGUGCCUGUUCUCAGGGUUACUUGCUUGAAAAGAAAAGCUCCUUUAAUUCAGUGUUUGCACCAUCUCACCGGGACCAAAGCCGCGCUGUAGCUGUUUCCUUAAAAUGUCGUUUUAAAGGUAUUGUGGUUUCGGAGCAGCAGUUGUGAAUGAAAAGUAUGUAAACUUAGCUGUUCUUGCUCACAUCAUUUUUAAUACUCUCAUGUCAGAGCAGAAGGCUGCUUUAGAUUGACUUUUCAUUGUGUAUUAGGUCUACAUUUUUUUCUUCUUCUUUGGAAACAUAUGGUCUUUGGGAUGUGUUAUAUUCGGUGCUUAAGAAAAUAACAAUGGAAUACCAAAAUAACUUCUUAGUUGAGUAUUAUAUUUGGAGGAAGAUUAAUUAAAAAAAAAAAACCUAACUCUUAUGAAGGAGAAUUUUGGGGGUGAGAUUCAUGUCUGUGUUUAAGAAAUAAAAUAAUUCAUCUAUGCUAUAUCAGUCAUGUGAAAGGCAGUAGCUUUGAGAAGCCCAAAUUCUUUCCCCAGAAGGAAAAUAUUUUUUGUUGCUAUUAAAUAUAGUUUAUAUUGGUACUUUAGAACUCUUUUUUUUUCAAGUGGGGCCAUUUACUUAAACUUUUAGUUCAUAUUUCUAUAUAGAAACGUCUUUGUCUUUGGGAUCUGCCUUUGCGAAUUCUCAUUUAAUAUGUGGCUGUGGCUAUUCAUUCACACCACGUGGUACCACACACCUGAUCAAGUGACAGUAUGAUGUCAUGGCAGCCAGCAGAAUGUGUGAGUGACUUUUGAGUCAUGGUGGCCUAGAAGUCCCUUGAGGUUGACAGAAGCAGCCAUAAUGGGGACUGUCCCCCUCUGUGCAUCCAGUACUUAGAAUGGCUAGGUGCUACUGAGCACAUAGAAGACGUAUGAUUGAGAAAUACUAAUUUUUAAAGCCGCUCCUGAAAGCAGAUUAGAACAUUUGAGCUGUUAGAGUUUCCGUGGCAAAUGGUAAGUACACACAUUGUUCAUAUUUCUCAAUGCCCAGGACCUCGCUCAGAGAAUUGCUUUACAGUGUCACAGUUCUUCUUGACUUCUCAGAACAAAACUGCACACAGCUAAGUAUCAUCUCUGUCACCCACAAGGAGCCUGGGUGGAGGAGGGCCUUCUCGGGUCUCAGAGCAGAACCCAGUCUCUUUCCUCCCAGUGGGAUCUUGUGCUCCACUCUGUUGCCUCCUCGUGAAGGGGUGGGUCAGAGCUCCUCCUCUGCCUCACAACAGUGGUGACUCUGAAGAGUUUGCUUGCGAACAGAGUGAGAGCACAUGCUGGCUGCCUGGAGAGUGGAAGUGAGCAUCUCCGAAGACAGUUGCCUUGCUUGCACAGGCCUGACAUAGUCUCUGUCACACGUGAGACCCCUCCCUCCAUGCUCUGCUCUCCUACAUGCCCUACUUCCUCAGCCAUUUCCAGGGACUCAUGAGCCUAUUCUUGGCGCUAGCGUUCCUAUAAUCUACACAGAGGCUGUGGCCAGAUGAAGCCCUUUGCCUUCACCCUCAGGGGCACCUUUGAACCCUACAGUGCUUUCUGUUCUCUGUGCGACUGACCCCUCCCCAUCUGAGCUUAAUUACAUUUAAAUGGCUGAGACAUAAUUUUGC
rnacentral:lncRNA from 1 species